UCUUAACUGGGCGUUAAGUUGCAGGGUAUAGACCCGAAACCCGGUGAUCUAGCCAUGGGCAGGUUGAAGGUUGGGUAACACUAACUGGAGGACCGAACCGACUAAUGUUGAAAAAUUAGCGGAUGACUUGUGGCUGGGGGUGAAAGGCCAAUCAAACCGGGAGAUAGCUGGUUCUCCCCGAAAGCUAUUUAGGUAGCGCCUCGUGAAUUCAUCUCCGGGGGUAGAGCACUGUUUCGGCAAGGGGGUCAUCCCGACUUACCAACCCGAUGCAAACUGCGAAUACCGGAGAAUGUUAUCACGGGAGACACACGGCGGGUGCUAACGUCCGUCGUGAAGAGGGAAACAACCCAGACCGCCAGCUAAGGUCCCAAAGUCAUGGUUAAGUGGGAAACGAUGUGGGAAGGCCCAGACAGCCAGGAUGUUGGCUUAGAAGCAGCCAUCAUUUAAAGAAAGCGUAAUAGCUCACUGGUCGAGUCGGCCUGCGCGGAAGAUGUAACGGGGCUAAACCAUGCACCGAAGCUGCGGCAGCGACGCUUAUGCGUUGUUGGGUAGGGGAGCGUUCUGUAAGCCUGUGAAGGUGGCCUGUGAGGGUUGCUGGAGGUAUCAGAAGUGCGAAUGCUGACAUAAGUAACGAUAAAGCGGGUGAAAAGCCCGCUCGCCGGAAGACCAAGGGUUCCUGUCCAACGUUAAUCGGGGCAGGGUGAGUCGACCCCUAAGGCGAGGCCGAAAGGCGUAGUCGAUGGGAAACAGGUUAAUAUUCCUGUACUUGGUGUUACUGCGAAGGGGGGACGGAGAAGGCUAUGUUGGCCGGGCGACGGUUGUCCCGGUUUAAGCGUGUAGGCUGGUUUUCCAGGCAAAUCCGGAAAAUCAAGGCUGAGGCGUGAUGACGAGGCACUACGGUGCUGAAGCGACAAAUGCCCUGCUUCCAGGAAAAGCCUCUAAGCAUCAGGUAACAUUAAAUCGUACCCCAAACCGACACAGGUGGUCAGGUAGAGAAUACCAAGGCGCUUGAGAGAACUCGGGUGAAGGAACUAGGCAAAAUGGUGCCGUAACUUCGGGAGAAGGCACGCUGAUAUGUAGGUGAAGCGACUUGCUCGUGGAGCUGAAAUCAGUCGAAGAUACCAGCUGGCUGCAACUGUUUAUUAAAAACACAGCACUGUGCAAACACGAAAGUGGACGUAUACGGUGUGACGCCUGCCCGGUGCCGGAAGGUUAAUUGAUGGGGUUAGCGGUAACGCGAAGCUCUUGAUCGAAGCCCCGGUAAACGGCGGCCGUAACUAUAACGGUCCUAAGGUAGCGAAAUUCCUUGUCGGGUAAGUUCCGACCUGCACGAAUGGCGUAAUGAUGGCCAGGCUGUCUCCACCCGAGACUCAGUGAAAUUGAACUCGCUGUGAAGAUGCAGUGUACCCGCGGCAAGACGGAAAGACCCCGUGAACCUUUACUAUAGCUUGACACUGAACAUUGAGCCUUGAUGUGUAGGAUAGGUGGGAGGCUUUGAAGUGUGGACGCCAGUCUGCAUGGAGCCGACCUUGAAAUACCACCCUUUAAUGUUUGAUGUUCUAACGUGGGCCCCUUACCGGGGUUGCGGACAGUGUCUGGUGGGUAGUUUGACUGGGGCGGUCUCCUCCUAAAGAGUAACGGAGGAGCACGAAGGUUGGCUAAUCCUGGUCGGACAUCAGGAGGUUAGUGCAAUGGCAUAAGCCAGCUUGACUGCGAGCGUGACGGCGCGAGCAGGUGCGAAAGCAGGUCAUAGUGAUCCGGUGGUUCUGAAUGGAAGGGCCAUCGCUCAACGGAUAAAAGGUACUCCGGGGAUAACAGGCUGAUACCGCCCAAGAGUUCAUAUCGACGGCGGUGUUUGGCACCUCGAUGUCGGCUCAUCACAUCCUGGGGCUGAAGUAGGUCCCAAGGGUAUGGCUGUUCGCCAUUUAAAGUGGUACGCGAGCUGGGUUUAGAACGUCGUGAGACAGUUCGGUCCCUAUCUGCCGUGGGCGCUGGAGAACUGAGGGGGGCUGCUCCUAGUACGAGAGGACCGGAGUGGACGCAUCACUGGUGUUCGGGUUGUCAUGCCAAUGGCACUGCCCGGUAGCUAAAUGCGGAAGAGAUAAGUGCUGAAAGCAUCUAAGCACGAAACUUGCCCCGAGAUGAGUUCUCCCUGA
rnacentral:rRNA from 1 species